rnacentral:rRNA from 1 species
GACGAACGCUGGCGGCGCGCUUAACACAUGCAAGUCGAGCGAGAACCAGGCCUUCGGGCCUGGGGAAAGCGGCGAACGGGUGAGUAACACGUGGGUAACCCACCCUUGGUACCGGGAUAGCCCGGGGAAACCCGGAUUAAUACCGGAUGGCCCAACAGCUCUUCGGGGCGGUUGGAAAAGGUAGCUUCGGCCUCCGACCAAGGACGGGCCCGCGGCGGAUUAGCUUGUUGGCGGGGUAACGGCCCACCAAGGCAACGAUCCGUAGCUGGCUGAGAGGACGAUCAGCCACACUGGGACUGAGACACGGCCCAGACUCCUACGGGAGGCAGCAGUGGGGAAUCUUGCGCAAUGGGCGAAAGCCUGACGCAGCGACGCCGCGUGGGGGAAGAAGGCUUUCGGUU